CUGACUUUCAAAACAAACUUCUAAUAUGUUUAACCCCGCCUCAUUCUGUAUGUAUGUGUCUGUCCAAAGUCAGGAGCCUGUAAUUCAGUGGUUGUUGUUUGUUUAUAUGUUUCAUAUUUGUUCUUUCGUUCAUUUUUUUACAUAAAUUAGGCCGUUAGUUUUCUCGUUUGAAUUGUUUUACCUCGUCAUUUCGGGGCUUUUUAUAGCCGACUAUGGCGGUAUGGGCUUUGAUCAUUGUUGAAGGCCGUACGGUAACCUAUAGUUGUUAAUUUUUGUGUCAUUUUGGUCUCUUGUGGAGAGUUGUCUCAUUGGCAAUCAUUCCUCAUCUUCUUUUUUAUAUUGUCCAUCUUUUUUUUUCCUUUUUAAGUUAGUGGUCAUGAAUCAUAGAAGCACUGAACAGGUUUAAAAUUGUGUAUUUAAAAUUUUUACCUUUAUAACAUGAGAUUUGUAGGCAAAGGAGAAGAUUUGUGGGAUUGUUAAACCCAUUUUACACCACCACAUUUUGUGUCUGUACCAUGUCAGACUAUCAUGAUUAUUUGUAGUUUUGUUUUUGUUCAUGUAUAUAUUUGUUUAUGAGUCAGGUAUUUGUGGUUGGUAUAGUUUGUUAUACUGUCAAAUAUUUUUAGUAGUUCCUGCUAUCUGUAUUGUAGUUUAUAAAAUAGAUGUUUUUUGUAUCACUCUAUAUUAGUUUGAACAUUCAACUACAUUAUAAUGUCCAUGAAAAGUUUUCUCAAUCCACCAAAAAUACGUAAACACGAAAACCUAAAGGAAUCCCCAGUAUAUGCCAUAUAUAUAUAUAUCGUUCAGUGACCAGUAUUACAAGUUAUACAGGGGUCACCUAGCUUAUAUUUGAUUAAAAAAUAAGAUGCAAAGAAUUAAUUAACAGCUGCACCAUGAGUGCAUGAUACCCCCUUCGUCUUGUGUGUGAAGUUUUAUUCAAUAAUCAUAGAUAGCUCCUGAGAUAAGGUGCAUCAUGUGAAAACCCCCCUUUUUCACAAAAAACUCUAUAACUCUAAAAUAAAAUUUUGAAUCAUCACCAAAAAGUAUACAGAUCUUGAGAUUAAUACAAAUAAGAAGUGUGUAAAGUUUUAAGCAAUAAUCGUAAAUCAUUUUUGAGAUACUGCACAACAUGUGAAACCCCCCCUGUUUUAGUUAUAAAAAUCGUAACUCAAGAAGUUUAAAUCCCAUUUUCACCAAAAAGUAUACUGAUUGUUUGACCAUCAUAAGAAACAACUAUCUUAAGUUUCAUGAAACUUGGAUCUAAAGCAGUUCUCAAGUUAUGGUGCGACAUGUGGACGCCAGACAAACAGUCAGACGG
rnacentral:lncRNA from 1 species